rnacentral:rRNA from 1 species
UGGGGAAUUUUGGACAAUGGGCGCAAGCCUGAUCCGGCCAUUCCGCGUGCAGGAUGAAGGCCCUCGGGUUGUAAACUGCUUUUGUACGGAACGAAAAGGCCUGAGUUAAUACCUCGGGCUGAUGACGGUACCGUAAGAAUAAGCACCGGCUAACUACGUGC